rnacentral:rRNA from 1 species
GACGAACGCUGGCGGCGUGCUUAACACGUGCAAGUCGAACGGUAAGGCCCUUCGGGGUACACGAGUGGCGAACGGGUGAGUAACACGUGGGUGAUCUGCCCUGCACUUCGGGAUAAGCCUGGGAAACUGGGUCUAAUACCGGUUAGGACCACUGCCUGCAUGGGUGGUGGUGGAAAGCUUUUGCGGUGUGGGAUGGGCCCGCGGCCUAUCAGCUUGUUGGGGGGGUGAUGGCCUACCAAGGCGACGACGGGUAGCCGGCCUGAGAGGGUGACCGGCCACACUGGGACUGAGAUACGGCCCAGACUCCUACGGGAGGCAGCAGUGGGGAAUAUUGCACAAUGGGCGCAAGCCUGAUGCAGCGACGCCGCGUGAGGGAUGACGGCCUUCGGGUUGUAAACCUCUUUCAGCACCGACGAAGCGCAAGUGACGGUAGGUGCAGAAGAAGGACCGGCCAACUACGUGCCAGCCGCCGCAGUAA